rnacentral:rRNA from 1 species
UACGUAGGGGGCAAGCGUUUGUCCGGAAUCAUUGGGCGUAAAGAGCGUGUAGGCGGCUCGGUAAGUCCGCUGUGAAAGUCCAGGGCUCAACCCUGGAAGGCCGGUGGAAACUGCCGGGCUAGAGUCCGGAAGAGGCGAGUGGAAUUCCCGGUGUAGCGGUGAAAUGCGUAGAUAUCGUAAGGAAGACCAGUGGCGAAGGCGGGUCUCUGGACAGUUCCUGACGCUGAGGCACGAAGGCCAGGGGGAGCAAACGGG